rnacentral:misc_RNA from 1 species
AAAUGCUUGUUGUAAAGCUGGAGAAAUGCAAAGAGCAACGAAAGCAGUUGAAGAGAUGGAAACUGUUGGGAUCAAACCUAACUUAAAGACCUAUACCACUCUUAUACAUGGUUGGGCACGGGCUUCUCUUCCCGAGAAGGGUUUGAAAUGUUUUGAACAGAUGAAGCAGUCUGGUUUGAAACCAGACAAAGCUGUAUACCACUGUUUAAUGACAUCAUUGUUGUCAAGGGCGGCAGUUGCUGAUCAAG